rnacentral:rRNA from 1 species
CGCGCAGGCGGUCUUGUCCGUCAGGUGUGAAAGCUCGGGGGCUCAACCCCCGGGAAGUGCACUUGAAACAGCAAGACUUGAAUACGGGAGAGGAGAGAGGAAUUCCUGGUGUAGAGGUGAAAUUCGUAGAUAUCAGGAGGAACACCGAUGGCGAAGGCAUCUCUCUGGACCGAUAUUGACGCUGAGGCGCGAAGGCGUGGGUAGCGAACG